ACGAACGCUGGCGGCAUGCCUAACACAUGCAAGUCGAACGCCCCGCAAGGGGAGUGGCGCACGGGUGAGUAACGCGUGGGGAUCUGCCCAUCGGUGGGGAAUAACCUCGGGAAACUGAGGCUAAUACCGCAUACGCCCUGUAAAGGGGAAAGAUUUAUCGCCGAUGGAUGAACCCGCGUCCGAUUAGCUUGUUGGUGAGGUAAUGGCUCACCAAGGCUUCGAUCGGUAGCUGGUCUGAGAGGAUGACCAGCCACACUGGGACUGAGACACGGCCCAGACUCCUACGGGAGGCAGCAGUGGGGAAUAUUGGACAAUGGGCGCAAGCCUGAUCCAGCAAUGCCGCGUGAAUGAUGAAGGCCUUAGGGUUGUAAAGUUCUUUUGUUAGGGAAGAAUAUUUUGACGGUACCUAACGAAUAAGAGGUUGCUAACUCUGU
rnacentral:rRNA from 1 species